rnacentral:rRNA from 1 species
AUCGUAUCCAUUUACACGGAUAACUGUGGUAAUUCUAGAGCUAAUACGUGCAAUCAGCUCGCUUCCUUGUGGAGCGAGCGCAGUUAUUAGAACAAGACCAAUCCGGCCUUCGGGUCGGUAAAAUUGGUGACUCUGAAUAACCGAAGCGGAGCGCAUGGUCUCGUACCGGCGCCAGAUCUUUCAAGUGUCUGACUUAUCAGCUUGUUGUUAGGUUACGUUCCUAACAAGGCUAUUACGGGUAACGGGGAAUUAGGGUCCGAUUCCGGAGAAGGAGCCUGAGAAACGGCUACUACAUCCAAGGAAGGCAGCAGGCGCGCAAAUUACCCACUCCCGGCACGGGGAGGUAGUGACGAAAAAUAACGAUGCGAGGGCUCUAUGCUUCUCGUAAUCGGAAUGGGUACACUUUAAAUCCUUUAACGAGGAUCUAUUGGAGGGCAAGUCUGGUGCCAGCAGCCGCGGUAAUUCCAGCUCCAAUAGCGUAUAUUAAAGUUGCUGCGGUUAAAAAGCUCGUAGUUGGAUCUGGGCAGCUGAACGGAUGGUGCGCUUUACAGCGUUACUGUCUGUUUGGUGCCACAAGCCGGCCAUGUCUUGCAUGCCCUUCACUGGGUGUGCUUGGCGACCGGAACGUUUACUUUGAAAAAAUUAGAGUGCUCAAAGCAGGCGUACGGCCUUGCAUAAUGGUGCAUGGAAUAAUGGAAUAGGACCUCGGUUCUAUUGUGUUGGUUUUCGGAACUCGAGGUAAUGAUUAAGAGGAACAGACGGGGGCAUUCGUAUUGCGGCGUUAGAGGUGAAAUUCUUGGAUCGUCGCAAGACGAACUACUGCGAAAGCAUUUGCCAAGAAUGUUUUCAUUAAUCAAGAACGAAAGUUAGAGGUUCGAAGGCGAUCAGAUACCGCCCUAGUUCUAACCAUAAACGAUGCCAACCAGCGAUCCGUCGGUGUUUUUUUGAAGACUCGACGGGCAGCUUCCGGGAAACCAAAGUGCUUAGGUUCCGGGGGAAGUAUGGUUGCAAAGCUGAU